rnacentral:rRNA from 1 species
AGCUCCAAUAGCGUAUAUUAAAGUUGUUGCAGUUAAAAAGCUCGUAGUUGGAUUUGUGGUCCUGGUUGUUUGGUCCCACGCUUUAGUGUGGGUACCUGAAUGACUGGUCCAUCCUUGGGUGGAAUCUGUGUGGCAUUAAGUUGUCGUGCAGGGGAUGCCCAUCGUUUACUGUGAAAAAAUUAGAGUGUUCAAAGCAGGCUUAUGCCGUUGAAUAUAUUAGCAUGGAAUAAUGAGAUAGGACCUCGGUACUAUUUUGUUGGUUUGCGCACUGAGGUAAUGGUUAAUAGGGACAGUUGGGGGUAUUCGUAUUCCAUUGUCAGAGGUGAAAUUCUUGGAUUUUUGGAAGACGAACGACUGCGAAAGCAUUUACCAAGGAUGUUUUCA